AGAUUGGAGACUACAUAAGACUUUGACAGAUGGCGGGAAACCCUCAUGAACUGGAUAGAAGCCGGUAGAGGAAUGUCUGCAAUUAAGCCGAGGGCCACUGGAUAAGGGUUGUUGAUGGUAAAACAGGUAGAGGAAUGUCUGCAAUUAAGCCGAGGGCCACUGGAUAAGGGUUGUUGAUGGUAAAACAGGUAGAGGAAUGUCUGCAAUUAAGCCGAGGGCCACUGGAUAAGGGUUGUUGAUGGUAAAACAGGUAGAGGAAUGUCUGCAAUUAAGCCGAGGGCCACUGGAUAAGGGUUGUUGAUGGUAAAACAGGUAGAGGAAUGUCUGCAAUUAAGCCGAGGGCCACUGGAUAAGGGUUGUUGAUGGUAAAACAGGUAGAGGAAUGUCUGCAAUUAAGCCGAGGGCCACUGGAUAAGGGUUGUUGAUGGUAAAACAGGUAGAAGAAUGUCUGCGACUAAGCCGAGGGCCACUUGAUAAGGGUUGUUGAUGGU